rnacentral:misc_RNA from 1 species
GAAAUGCGAUACGUAAUGUGAAUUGCAGAAUUCAGUGAAUCAUCGAAUCUUUGAACGCAUAUUGCGCUCUUUGGUAUUCCGAAGAGCAUGCUUGUUUGAGUAUCAGUAAACACCUCAAAGCUUUUGGAUUUUUUAAUCGAAAAGCUUUGGACUUGAGUGAUCCCAACUAUUUUUUUUUGGAAAAAAGGAAAUCAGGCGGGCCACUUGAAAUGCAGGUGCAGCUGAACAUUCUUCUGAGUUAUAAGCAUAUUUAUUUAGUCCUGUCAAAAGGAUUAUUAUUACUUUUGCUUCAGCUAAUAUAAAGGUCGAAUGUCCUAUAACACUGACUGAUGCAGGAUUUAUCAAGACUUUUUUUGUCUUGUAAACUCGAUCUCAAAUCAAGUAGGACUACCCGCUGAAC